rnacentral:rRNA from 1 species
AUAUGCGAUCAUACUAGCACUAGUGCACCGAAUUCUAUCUCAACUACUAAACUAAGCAUGUUUAAGCGAGAGUAGUAUUAGAAUGAGUCAUUUCCUGGGAAGUCUUUGUGCUACAUUCC